UUGGAGGGCAAGUCUGGUGCCAGCAGCCGCGGUAAUUCCAGCUCCAAUAGCGUAUAUUAAAGUUGUUGCAGUUAAAAAGCUCGUAGUUGAACUUCGGGGUUUACCCAUUGGUCAGGCUUAAUUGUCUGUACUGGUGAGAUAAAUCUCUACCUUCUGAGGAACUUUCAUGCCAUUUAUUUGGUGUGAUUGGAAAUCAGGACUAUUACUUUGAAAAAAUUAGAGUGUUUAAAGCAGGCUAACGUCUGAAUAUAUUAGCAUGGAAUAAUGAAAUAGGACGGCUUGGUUCUAUUUCGUUGGUUUCUAGGAUCACCGUAAUGAUUAAUAGGGAUAGUUGGGGGCAUUAGUAUUCAAUUGUCAGAGGUGAAAUUCUUGGAUUUAUUGAAGACUAACUACUGCGAAAGCAUUUGCCAAGGAUGUUUUCAUUAAUCAAGAACGAAAGUUAGGGGAUCGAAGACGAUCAGAUACCGUCGUAGUCUUAACCAUAAACUAUGCCGACUAGGGAUCGGACGAAGUUAAUUUUAUAAUGACGCGUUCGGCGCCUUACGGGAAAC
rnacentral:rRNA from 1 species